GGCCUGGUAGCCAAGUAGUAAGGCAACUGUCUGCAAAACAGUUAUACGCGGGUGCGAUUCCCGCCCAGGCCUCAA
rnacentral:tRNA from 1 species